rnacentral:rRNA from 1 species
UACGUGGGGCGCGAGCGUUGUCCGGAUUUAUUGGGCGUAAAGAGCUCGUAGGCGGUUUGUCGCGUCGUCCGUGAAAACUCACAGCUUAACUGUGAGCUUGCGGUCGAUACGGGCAGGCUAGAGUUCGGUAGGGGAGACUGGAAUUCCUGGUGUAGCGGUGAAAUGCGCAGAUAUCAGGAGGAACACCGGUGGCGAAGGCGGGUCUCUGGGCCGUUACUGACGCUGAGGAGCGAAAGCGUGGGGAGCGAACAGG